rnacentral:lncRNA from 1 species
GGCGCUAUAUAUUAUUCCAGCCUAUCGAUCCCAGCGAUACACAUGUCCGAGAGCCACAGACGAGGCUCCAUCCCUCCCUGGAGAACAUCCGUCGCUGCGUUGCCGCCCGGCACGCCAGCCCCAAGCGCCUCGCGCCGGGUGCAGGCAGGGCAGAGGGAUCAGCCCACGGCCCCGAACCCUGAGCCACUGCUGCAGCGAUGAGCAAAAGUACCAGGAACUGCUUCUCCCAAGGGAAGAACUCGCUGGAAUCCGGUGCUCACCUUUUCCCGUGGUUUUUCCCAUGUGCUGCCAGGAGCUGCAGCGUAUUCCCAAGCCUUGGGGACGCAUCUAUUGAAACAAGACCAAAGCUCAGCUACUCUUCAGCGCCCGAAGCUGACCUUUUCCAGCAUGUUUCACGCUCUCCCAGAGCCACAUUUUCUCCUCCGGUCACCGUGGUCCCAACAUCCAGGACGUCCUGGGUUUGCCUGC